rnacentral:lncRNA from 1 species
GGAGGAUUGCAAUCAUCUCCUUGGUAAGGUGCUCAAUGCCAGGUAAGUUUCUCUAUAAACUCCCCUCUACAUUGUCAGUAUAAUAUAACCUUCCUAACACACAUACUGCAUAUGAUGCCUAAUCAGAUAUUUUUCAAGCAGGUAGAUUUCACAUUCACUUUAUGUCCUUUUAUGAAUGUUGUUGCUUUUUUUUCAUUCCCUUAGGAUUUUUUUUUUAGAAUUAAAAAGAAAAUUAUAUUCUGUUGAGUUCACUGUAAGAAAAAAUCCUUGAUAUUGAAGGCAUCUAGCUCCCCAUUCUGCCUUUAGGGAACCAUUGAGCAUAUGCACAUUCCAUCAGCCAGAGUCUGCCAGCAUCUAAUGCCUCUCUAGGGCUUCACCAUUACCCGAAUUUGAAUGCUGAGAAGAUGCUCAUAAUUGCUUAUUAUGACAUUAGACAAGAGAAUUCAAGUCCCAUUUGAUUGUAAUGAGUUUGUGGAGUCUCUGCUUUCUGUGGUCCAAUCACAUACAGAAGUGAAUGUGAGGCAAGUUUGAUGAAACAGAAUUAUGCUUGAAGAGGUGAGCAUGAGGCUCGGACCUUUUUCACUUAAAUUUUUUUUUCUUAUAACUUUCAGCAUUCUGUUGAUGGAAAUAAAAGUAAUAUCAAUUAUAAAAUCUUUCAGCAGGAAAACUCAAAAUUCUUUCCAAACUAAAUUAUUUUCCCAGGUUACCACUGAAAUAAUUCAGACUUACUGUCUCCACAUUG